rnacentral:rRNA from 1 species
AUUGAACGCUGGCGGCAGGCUUAACACAUGCAAGUCGAGCGGAGAGAGGUAGCUUGCUACUGAUCUUAGCGGCGGACGGGUGAGUAAUGCUUAGGAAUCUGCCUAUUAGUGGGGGACAACAUUUCGAAAGGAAUGCUAAUACCGCAUACGUCCUACGGGAGAAAGCAGGGGAUCUUCGGACCUUGCGCUAAUAGAUGAGCCUAAGUCGGAUUAGCUAGUUGGUGGGGUAAAGGCCUACCAAGGCGACGAUCUGUAGCGGGUCUGAGAGGAUGAUCCGCCACACUGGGACUGAGACACGGCCCAGACUCCUACGGGAGGCAGCAGUGGGGAAUAUUGGACAAUGGGCGCAAGCCUGAUCUAGCCAUGCCGCGUGUGUGAAGAAGGCCUUAUGGUUGUAAAGCACUUUAAGCGAGGAGGAGGCUACUUUAGUUAAUACCUAGGGAUAGUGGACGUUACUCGCAGAAUAAGCACCGGCUAACUCUGUGCCAGCCGCCGCGGUAA